AAAAGUUUUCUUGAAGCAAGCACAACAUGAAACUGUAUCUGCUCGCUUUAAUAUUAAUUUUUGCUCUCUGGAACUCAUUUGCAGCGGGGGAUUGUUUGACGGAUCCCGUGACAAUGCUGUGCAUUUUGGACCCAAAUCAGGGCAAAUAAGUUUGUACAUAUGUACAUCCCUCUUCAAUAAAGCACAAAAGUAUAACACGAA